GCCAAGGCCUCGGCGCCCUGCCCGCCGUCCCCGCUCGUCGUGCGGGUGUCCGAGCCCGGCCCCCGGCUGCGCAGGAAGCUGGAGAGCUACUUCCAGAGCCGGCGCUCGGGCGGCGGGGAGUGCACCGUGCGGGCCCUGGGCGACAGCGCCCCGGACACCUUCCGGGUGGAGUUCAGGGAAAGGGCAGGAGGAAAGGAAGGAAUAAGUACAGAACCUAAGUGUCCUAAGGCAAAAUCACCACAAAAUUAUAGUAAGACAUAAAAGAAGUAUUUUAUUCCACAUAUGUUCCAAGAGGCAAAAGUGAGAGAUGAACAAGCAUGCUGCCAGAGCUAUGCGUGCCUGACACUGAGGUGAUGUUCCUGGACACUGGACUGACAUGAAUCAGCAGGGUCCCUGCUUGGUCUGGCUCCAACCUGGGCAACCAGAAUAUAACACUGUAAUGGGCAAGCUCAAUCAGACUUGUCUUUUCUACAAAAUAGAGAAGAAGAGAAACUGAGCUCUGUCCCACCAUCCUUGGACAAAAGUCCUGAGCCUUGUAUUGAAUGGACCACUUCGACCAACCUCCAUGCCUGGGAACUGCCGUGUGCUGACAGGCCUGAGCCCGGGUCACCUGAUCCAAUCAAUUUAGAGAACACAGAAUAUCCAUCUCUGGCAGAGCUACCAGCUGCAGCCUACGGAAAAGGAACCAGUUUUGCUGUUGAUGUCAGCUGUCCUGCCAGUGACACAUACUCCAGACCAGAUGAACAUGGGAGAAGGCGUAUGUAUGUUGCUUAAGUUCUUACUGGAGUCUGUACACGUGGACGUGCAGGAUUACUUAUCCCUCCAGCAGAGAACCCUCACAAUCCCGUAGAACUCUUGACUCUGUCACAGAUGACCCACAACGCCCAGACAUAUUUGUGGUGCUCUUUGAUUAUCAAGCUUACCCCAAAUAUCUCAUAACUUUCUAACGUUGUUGUUGUCCUUAGUUGCCAUGGAGUCAAUUCCCACGUACAGCGCCCCCGCAUGUGCGGAGUAGAACUGCUCCAUGAGGUUUUCCAGGCUGCAACCUUUCAGAAGCAGGUCUCCAGGCCUGUCUUCCAAGGUCCCCGUGGGUGGGUUCAAACUGCCAACCUUUCGGCUAAUAGUCUAGCACUUAACUGUUUGUGCCACACGGGGACUCCUUUGAAAUGUUAAAUAGGAUUUGUCAUAUAAUUAAAAGAAAACUUUGCAGAUUCUUUGUCUUGGACUUGUU